rnacentral:rRNA from 1 species
UACAGAGGGGGCAAGCGUUAUUCGGAAUUAUUGGGCGUAAAGAGCUCGUAGGCGGUUUGUUGCGUCGGCUGUGAAAUCCCGAGGCUCAACCUCGGGUCUGCAGUCGAUACGAGCAAACUAGAGUGUUGCAGGGGAGACUGGAAUUCCUGGUGUAGCGGUGGAAUGCGCAGAUAUCAGGAGGAACACCGGUGGCGAAGGCGGCUCACUGGCCCGGUACUGACGCUGAGGUGCGAAAGCGUGGGGAGCAAACAGG